GUCUAUAUGAAGGUGUAUAUAGUUUGGCCUGCUCACUGAUUAUAUUAAAGAGCCGCAGUAUUUUGACUGUGCGAAGGUAGCAUAAUAAAUUGUCUUUUAAAUGGAGGCUUGAAUGAAAGGUUGGACAAAGUAUCAUCUGUUUCUUAAAUAUUUAUUGAAUUUGACUUUCAAGUGAAAAGGCUUGAAUAAAUUAAAAAGACGAUAAGACCCUAUAAAUCUUUACAAUAAACAUAUUUUAUAUUUUUAUUUAUUAAGUGAAUGAAGUAUUAAAUUUGUAGUUGUUUCGCUGGGGCGGCGUAGAUAUAUAAAUGAACUGUCUAUAAUUUUAAUACAAUAAUUAUUGAUUAAUGAAAUUGAUCCUUAAAUAGAUUAAAAGAUUAAGAUACUUUAGGGAUAACAGCGUUAUUUUUUCUGAGAGUUCUUAUCGAAGAAAAAGUUUGCGACCUCGAUGUUGAAUUAAAGUAUCUUUAUGGUGCAGUCGCUAUAAGAGAGAGUCUGUUCGACUUUUAAUACUUUACAUGAUUUGAGUUCAGACCGGCGUGAG
rnacentral:rRNA from 1 species